GACACUAUGGCCGAGUGGUUAAGGCGACAGAUUCGAAAGCUGAAUCAUCUGUUUCGCUCUGCGAGCGCAGGUUCAAAUCCUGCUGGUGUCG
rfam:Dichomitus squalens LYAD-421 SS1 unplaced genomic scaffold DICSQscaffold_3, whole genome shotgun sequence.